CUGAGGGUAGCGGAGAAAUUCCAAUCGAACCUGGAGAUAGCUGGUUCUCUCCGAAAUAGCUUUAGGGCUAGCCUCAAGUGAUGAUUAUUGGAGGUAGAGCACUGUUUGGACGAGGGGCCCCUCUCGGGUUACCGAAUUCAGACAAACUCCGAAUGCCAAUUAAUUUAACUUGGGAGUCAGAACAUGGGUGAUAAGGUCCGUGUUCGAAAGGGAAACAGCCCAGACCACCAGCUAAGGUCCCAAAAUAUAUGUUAAGUGGAAAAGGAUGUGGCGUUGCCCAGACAACUAGGAUGUUGGCUUAGAAGCAGCCAUCAUUUAAAGAGUGCGUAAUAGCUCACUAGUCGAGUGACACUGCGCCGAAAAUGUACCGGGGCUAAACAUAUUACCGAAGCUGUGGAUUGUCCUUUGGACAAUGGUAGGAGAGCGUUCUAAGGGCGUUGAAGCAUGAUCGUAAGGACAUGUGGAGCGCUUAGAAGUGAGAAUGCCGGUGUGAGUAGCGAAAGACGGGUGAGAAUCCCGUCCACCGAUUGACUAAGGUUUCCAGAGGAAGGCUCGUCCGCUCUGGGUUAGUCGGGUCCUAAGCUGAGGCCGACAGGCGUAGGCGAUGGAUAACAGGUUGAUAUUCCUGUACCACCUAUAAUCGUUUUAAUCGAUGGGGGGACGCAGUAGGAUAGGCGAAGCGUGCGAUUGGAUUGCACGUCUAAGCAGUAAGGCUGAGUAUUAGGCAAAUCCGGUACUCAUUAAGGCUGAGCUGUGAUGGGGAGAAGACAUUGUGUCUUCGAGUCGUUGAUUUCACACUGCCGAGAAAAGCCUCUAGAUAGAAAAUAGGUGCCCGUACCGCAAACCGACACAGGUAGUCAAGAUGAGAAUUCUAAGGUGAGCGAGCGAACUCUCGUUAAGGAACUCGGCAAAAUGACCCCGUAACUUCGGGAGAAGGGGUGCUCUUUAGGGUUAACGCCCAGAAGAGCCGCAGUGAAUAGGCCCAAGCGACUGUUUAUCAAAAACACAGGUCUCUGCUAAACCGUAAGGUGAUGUAUAGGGGCUGACGCCUGCCCGGUGCUGGAAGGUUAAGAGGAGUGGUUAGCUUCUGCGAAGCUACGAAUCGAAGCCCCAGUAAACGGCGGCCGUAACUAUAACGGUCCUAAGGUAGCGAAAUUCCUUGUCGGGUAAGUUCCGACCCGCACGAAAGGCGUAACGAUUUGGGCACUGUCUCAACGAGAGACUCGGUGAAAUCAUAG
rnacentral:rRNA from 1 species